rnacentral:rRNA from 1 species
UACAGAGGUGGCAAGCGUUGUUCGGAUUUACUGGGCGUAAAGGGUCCGUAGGCGGUUCGGUUAGUCAAAUGUGAAAGCCCACAGCUCAACUGUGGAACUGCAUUUGAAACUGCCGAGCUAGAGUGUGAGAGGGGUGAAGGGAAUUCCCGGUGUAAGGGUGAAAUCUGCAGAGAUCGGGAGGAACACCAGUCGCGAAGGCGCUUCACUGGCUCACUACUGACGCUCAGGGACGAAAGCUAGGGUAGCAAACGGG